AACUGUAUACUGCUACCUAAGAAGACUAAUUUGAUUGUCUGCCCUGAAUUACAGGUUUGUCUCCCGUGAAUUACAGACUUUGUUCCGGUCAUGACGUUAUUUACAUAAUACGUGUAAUCACUCGAGAAAAGUUUUUAAAUAAUCAACAGUGGCAAGUGUUUCAACAAAUACGUAACACAUAAGAAUAAGGCUGUUACACGCAAACAUAUCCAUUAUUUUUGUUUAUUUUGGAAUUCCAAUGGGGCAGUUCGUAUUUUAUGCUGUUGCGAGUGGGAGAUAAAAACGUUAUGAAGGAAUGUUAUGGAAACAAACAACUAUGAUGUUGCCUUUAAGAGCAGAAAACCAUAUUCUUAUAUCCAUUCCUUGCUGUUUUGUGUUGAUGUAUUCUACAGUUGUAGUCUUCCUGAGAUGAAAACAAUUUAAUUCCAGCACCAUUCUAUCGAUAUCAUGGACUUGAGGCAGACUGUGGUGUUUAUCUGUGUUUUGUGUGCAGAACUGCCAGUCAGUAUGUUAGAAGGUCAACAACAGCACAGGAACAUUUUUGUGUUUACACAGUUUGGUAAGACGGCCAUAUUAAGAUGUUCUUCACGCAUUGUGCCACCGGCAACAAAAUUCUCUUGGAAAUUCCGAACUUCACCGUUGACCGAAACCGGCAGGACUCUGGAAAUCAAACCACUUGAUGAUGGCAGGACUUACUUUGGAAUCUACUCGUGUAGGGCCACAAACCAUCUAGGAAAGUCAGAAGAAAAUCUACAUUCAUUUGAAAAAGUCAAUGGGUGUAAAGUCACGAAGUAAACUAGAACCUGAAUAUCUUGUUGUGAUCGGGAUGAGUGUCUUGUUCGGUAUACUUCUUUUCCUUGCCUGCUUCUUCACAGUACUUGAAGGUCACCGGGUCACUGAGCCGCACCAGUGCUUGCUGGAGUCGAACCACAGCCAUGAUCCGUGUAAUCACGUGAACUGUCACACCAGUCUCGUCAAAUGCCACAACGAGCUUAGGAAAAAGUUCCGUGUUCAGAGAAAAAGUCACUCUCGGGAACAGUUUGCUUGAAGGGCAAACACCACACCAAACCUGGUUCUGAAUGGUGCAUACAGAUUUGAAAAGAGCUUGAAUUUGAGUGGUCGUAGUGAAAAAACCUUUGAAUUUGUGAAAAACCCAUGAAAAGUGCUUGAAUUUGGGGAAAUCCUCUUGAAAAGUGCAUAUUUCCUGUGAAAAAAUAUAAAAUUUACCUUCCUCAAGUUUAUUUUCUCAUAAUCCCAAAAUUUGUCAGCUUGUAUUAUUGACAGUUUUCACUAGCCGGUAUAAUAUUUUCACAAAUAUAAAAUAUUCUUGGAUGUGUUCUUACAAAUACUGAUGAAUAUACAGGGGUGCAGAAAUGGAAAAUAUUUCACUAGCCUGUUGGACCAGAACCAGCUAAAAUUUACUAGCCCAGCAGACUUUCUACUUGUCCGUCAGCCUAUAGAAUAUAUUACUGUUCAACUUCAAAUGGUAUAUAUAUAUUUUUUUUUCUUGGUAAGUGAUCAACAUCAUGUAAAAAAUGAAACAACACCCAAACCUUAACUGACAAAUCAAUAAAAAAAAUUAAUAUUCCGGUAAAUACUAAGUUUUUCACAUUCUUUUAUAUAGAUUUACAAAAUUCAAGUGACAUCCAGGAAGUGUUUAACAGAACAAUCUAUUCAGAGCACACCGCGGAUUGAAUGCAAAAACAAAAUAUGGAUAUAACGAAUUAAAUUAGUCAGUCAGAAAAAGACAGAUCACCAGUUGGGCUGGUAGUUGCAUUUUUUAACCCGUCACAUUUGGCGAUCGGGCGAUUACUUUCUGCAGCCUUGAAUAUAAAUGACUGGUACCGAUGAAUAUACAUGUAAAUAUGAUAUACACAGAGAAAAAUACAUGAGUGGCCGUUAGAUACCAUUUAUCUCAAGAGUUGUUUUAAAAUGCAAAUUUUAACAUCUUUUUUGACUAAAGGUAUUUACAGC
rnacentral:misc_RNA from 1 species